UCCGUUGUGGUCUAGUGGUUAGGAUUUAUGGCUCUCACCCAUAAGGCCGGGUUCGAUUCCCCGCAACGGAA
rnacentral:tRNA from 1 species